rnacentral:rRNA from 1 species
CCCUUAGAUGUUCUGGGCCGCACACGCGCUACACUGAAGGAGGCAGCGUGUACUCCUGGAUCGAAAGAUUUGGGUAACCCGCGAAUCUCCUUCGUGCUAGGGAUUGAGGUUUGCAAUUAUCCUUCAUGAACGAGGAAUUCCCAGUAAGUGCAAGUCAUAAGCUUGCGCUGACUACGUCCCUGCCCUUUGUACACACCGCCCGUCGCUACUACCGAUUGAAUGAUUUAGUGAGGACUUCGGACUGGGACCGAUGCGGAUUUCGGGCUGCGUCGGUAUUCUGGAAAGAUGUCCAAACUGUAUCAUUUAGAGGAAGUAAAAGUCGUAACA